CUUUUUACACUCCUACGGGAGGCAGCAGUGGGAAUAUUGCACAAUGGGGGAAACCCUGAUGCAGCCAUGCCGCGUGUGUGAAGAAGGCCUUCGGGUUGUAAAGCACUUUCAGUAGGGAGGAAGGUAGUGUAGUUAACACCUUGCACUAUUUGACGUUACCUACAGAAGAAGCACCGGCUAACUCCGUGCCAGCAGCCGCGGUAAUACGGAGGGUGCGAGCGUUAAUCGGAAUUACUGGGCGUAAAGCGCAUGCAGGCGGCCUGUUAAGUCAGAUGUGAAAGCCCGGGGCUUAACCUCGGAAUUGCAUUUGAAAACUGGCAGGCUAGAGUCUUGUAGAGGGGGUAGAAUUUCAGGUGUAGCGGUGAAAUGCGUAGAGAUCUGAAGGAAUACCAGUGGCGAAGGCGGCCCCCUGGACAAAGACUGACGCUCAGAUGCGAAAAGCGUGGGGAGCAAACAGGAUUAGAUACCCUGGUAG
rnacentral:rRNA from 1 species